UAUUGCACAAUGGGGGAAACCCUGAUGCAGCGACGCCGCGUGGAGGAAGAAGGCCUUCGGGUUGUAAACUCCUGUCGUAAGGGACGAUAGUGACGGUACCUUACAAGAAAGCCACGGCUAACUACGUGCCAGCAGCCGCGGUAAAACGUAGGUGGCAAGCGUUGUCCGGAAUUACUGGGUGUAAAGGAGCGCAGGCGGGUCUGCAAGUUGAAGUAAACUCAUGGGCUCAACCCAUAACUGUUUUCAAAACUGCGAUCUUAGUGGUGAAGGAGGCGAAUUCCCGGCGAGCGGUGAAUGCGAGUUCGGAGAACACCAGUGCAAGCGCCUCUGGGACAACUGCGUGGGCAAAUCGAUCUU
rnacentral:rRNA from 1 species